CCUACGGGAGGCAGCAGUGGGGAAUUUUGGACAAUGGGCGAAAGCCUGAUCCAGCAAUGCCGCGUGCAGGAUGAAGGCCUUCGGGUUGUAAACUGCUUUUGUACGGAGCGAAAAGGCUUUCUCUAAUACAGGGGGCUCAUGACGGUACCGUAAGAAUAAGCACCGGCUAACUACGUGCCAGCAGCCGCGGUAAUACGUAGGGUGCGAGCGUUAAUCGGAAUUACUGGGCGUAAAGCGUGCGCAGGCGGUUCUAUAAGACAGGCGUGAAAUCCCCGGGCUCAACCUGGGAAUUGCGUUUGUGACUGUAGAGCUGGAGUACGGCAGAGGGGGAUGGAAUUCCGCGUGUAGCAGUGAAAUGCGUAGAUAUGCGGAGGAACACCGAUGGCGAAGGCAAUCCCCUGGGCCUGUACUGACGCUCAUGCACGAAAGCGUGGGGAGCAAACAGGAUUAGAUACCCUGGUAGUCCACGCCCUAAACGAUGUCAACUGGUUGUUGGGUCUUCACUGACUCAGUAACGAAGCUAACGCGUGAAGUUGACCGCCUGGGGAUACGGCCGCAAGGUUGAAACUUAAGAGAGUCGCG
rnacentral:rRNA from 1 species